AUUGAACGCUGGCGGCAGGCCUAACACAUGCAAGUCGAGCGGAUGAGGGGUGUUUGCACCCCGAUUCAGCGGCGGACGGGGGAGUAAUGCCUAGGAAUCUGCCCGAUAGUGGGGGACAACGUUCCGAAAGGAACGCUAAUACCGCAUACGCCCUACGUGAGAAAGUGGGGGCUCUUCGGACCUCACGCUAUCGGAUGAGCCUGGGCCGUGUUAGCUAGUUGGAGGGGUAAAGGCUCACCAAGGCGACGAUCAGUAACUGGUCUGAGAGGAUGAUCAGGCACACUGGAACUGAGACACGGUCCAGACUCCUACGGGAGGCAGGAGUGGGGAAUAUUGGACAAUGGGCGAAAGCCUGAUGCAGCGAUGCCGCGUGUGUGAAGAAGGUCUUCGGAUUGUAAAGCACUUUAAGUAGGGAGGAAGAGCUGUAGGUUAAUACCUUGCAGCCUUGACGUUACCGACAGAAUAAGCACCGGCUAACUUCGUGCCAGCCGCCGCCGUAAAAC
rnacentral:rRNA from 1 species